rnacentral:rRNA from 1 species
GACGAACGCUGGCGGCGUGCUUAACACAUGCAAGUCGAACGGAAAGGCCCUGCUUGCAGGGUGCUCGAGUGGCGAACGGGUGAGUAACACGUGGGUGAUCUGCCCCUUAUUUUGGGAUAAGCCUGGGAAACUGGGUCUAAUACUGGAUAGGACCAUGCUGUAGGUGGUGUGGUGGAAAGAUUAGUUUCGGUAAGGGAUGAGCUCGCGGCCUAUCAGCUUGUUGGUGGGGUAAUGGCCUACCAAGGCGUCGACGGGUAGCCGGCCUGAGAGGGUGGACGGCCACAUUGGGACUGAGAUACGGCCCAGACUCCUACGGGAGGCAGCAGUGGGGAAUAUUGCACAAUGGGCGCAAGCCUGAUGCAGCGACGCCGCGUGGGGGAUGACGGCCUUCGGGUUGUAAACUCCUUUCAGCCAUGACGAAGCCCUUGUGGUGACGGUAGUGGUAGAAGAAGCACCGGCUAACCACGUG